CACGUUUCCGGGAGCCCGGCGGACUGUGAGUCUGCAGAUGCCAACCGGCGCACAGCGGGUAUACUGGUUCUGCAACCUUGGGGUGUUCCGCCGAACGCCUGCCUAACAUGGGAGCGCCUGCCUAACCCUCCUGACUGGAGGGUCAGCGGCGGGGAGUCCUGGCCUUCAGUCGGCCGUCGUCGCGGCUGAAACUGGGGCCCGGGCUGCGUCCAGACCCUUCCCCGUCGGUCCACAGGUCUCAUGGGCGCCCGGACUGGGGCUGAUGUAGUUUCCCGACCUCUGACACGUAGGAUCUGGAGAUUAAAGGAAUGAAAACGGGGACUUUUCAGCCCACUCAGGCCUGAGCCUGGGAUCCUGCGGUGCUUCCCAGGCGCUACGCCUGAGGUUUCUUCUUCCUGGUCGACCCUCCGCGAAUCCUGGCCUCCGGAUACCAUCCCGUCGACCCCGUGGGGAGGACUGGCCUUAGCCCAGAGUUCGAUGUGCUGCCACAAAAGGCUCCUCCUUCGCGAAGCGUCAAGGACUCAUCUCCAGGCAACGAUGGAGGUCUCUGUGACGUGAGCAUCUGCUCACGAUUCGCGCAUGCUCUUUGGCCCGCCAAAAGGAGCCAAUCAGAGGUCACGCCUUCC